rnacentral:rRNA from 1 species
UACGGAGGGUGCGAACGUUAAUCGGAAUCACUGGGCGUAAAGCGCGCGUAGGCGGUCUGUUAAGUGGGAUGUGAAAUCCCCGGGCUUAACCUGGGAAUUGCAUUUCAAACUGGCCGACUAGAGUACGGUAGAGGGAGGUAGAAUUUCCUGUGUAGCGGUGAAAUGCGUAGAUAUCUGGAGGAACACCGGUGGCGAAGGCGGCAUCCUGGACUACUACUGACGCUGAGUGAGCGAAAGCCAGGGGAGCAAACGGG